GACGAACGCUGGCGGCGUGCCUAAUACAUGCAAGUAGAACGCUGAAGACUUUAGCUUGCUAAAGUUGGAAGAGUUGCGAACGGGUGAGUAACGCGUAGGUAACCUGCCUACUAGCGGGGGAUAACUAUUGGAAACGAUAGCUAAUACCGCAUAACAGCAUUUAACCCAUGUUAGAUGCUUGAAAGGAGCAAUUGCUUCACUAGUAGAUGGACCUGCGUUGUAUUAGCUAGUUGGUGAGGUAACGGCUCACCAAGGCGACGAUACAUAGCCGACCUGAGAGGGUGAUCGGCCACACUGGGACUGAGACACGGCCCAGACUCCUACGGGAGGCAGCAGUAGGGAAUCUUCGGCAAUGGGGGCAACCCUGACCGAGCAACGCCGCGUGAGUGAAGAAGGUUUUCGGAUCGUAAAGCUCUGUUGUAAGAGAAGAACGUGUGUGAGAGUGGAAAGUUCACACAGUGACGGUAACUAC
rnacentral:rRNA from 1 species